rnacentral:rRNA from 2 species
AAAUUGAAGAGUUUGAUCAUGGCUCAGAUUGAACGCUGGCGGCAGGCCUAACACAUGCAAGUCGAGCGGUAGCACAGAGAGCUUGCUCUCGGGUGACGAGCGGCGGACGGGUGAGUAAUGUCUGGGAAACUGCCUGAUGGAGGGGGAUAACUACUGGAAACGGUAGCUAAUACCGCAUAACGUCGCAAGACCAAAGUGGGGGACC